CUCGGGCCUUGUACCACACCGCCCGUCACACCACGAAACGUCGGCAAUACCCGAAGCCGGUGGCCCAACCCGCAAGGGAGGGAGCCGUCGAAGGUAGGGUCGAUGAUUGGGGUG
rnacentral:rRNA from 1 species